rnacentral:tRNA from 1 species
GGUGAGGUGGCCGAGAGGCUGAAGGCACUCCCCUGCUAAGGGAGUAUGCGGUCAAAAGCUGCAUCCGGGGUUCGAAUCCCCGCCUCACCGCCA